CAAUAGCGUAUAUUAAAGUUGUUGCGGUUAAAAAGCUCGUAGUUGGAUCUCGGCAGGCAGGGGGUGGUUCGCUCUUAGCGCUACUGCCCCAUUUGCCUGUGUGAUUGGCGGAGGUUUCGGGGUGCUCUUCGUUGAGUGACCCGGGGCGCCGUCAGGUUUACUUUGAAAAAAUUAGAGUGCUCAAAGCAGGCUUUUCACGCUUGAAUAUUCGUGCAUGGAAUAAUGGAAUAGGAACUCGUUUCUAUUUUGUUGGUUUUCGGAAAUCGAGUUAAUGAUUAAUAGGGGCAAUUGGGGGCAUUAGUAUUCAGACGACAGAGGUGAAAUUCUUGGACCGUCUGAAGACUAACUACUGCGAAAGCAUUUGCCAAGAGUGUUUUCAUUAA
rnacentral:rRNA from 1 species